rnacentral:rRNA from 1 species
ACAUGCAGUCGAACGGUAGCACAGAGAGCUUGCUCUUGGGUGACGAGUGGCGGACGGGUCCGUUAUGUCUGGGAAACUGCCCGAUGGAGGGGGAUAACUACUGCAUACGGUAGCUAAUACCGCAUAACGUCGCAAGACCAAAGUGGACGGGACCUUCGGGCCUCACACCAUCGGAUGUGCCCAGAUGGGAUUAGCUAGUUGGUGAGGUAAUGGCUCACCAAGGCGACGAUCCCUAGCUGGUCUGAGAGGAUGACCAGCCACACUGGAACUGAGACACGGUCCAGACUCCUACGGGAGGCAGCAGUGGGGAAUAUUGCACAAUGGGCGCAAGCCUGAUGCAGCCAUGCCGCGUGUAUGAAGAAGGCCUUCGGGUUGUAAAGUACUUUCAGCGAGGAGGAAGGCAUUAGGGUUAAUAACCUUAGUGAUUGACGUUACUCGCAGAAGAAGCACCGGCUAACUCCGUGCCAGCAGCCGCGGUAAUACGGAGGGUGCGAGCGUUAAUCGGAAUUACUGGGCGUAAAGCGAGCGCAGGUGGUUUAUUAAGUCUGGUGUAAAAGGCAGUGGCUCAACCAUUGUAUGCAUUGGAAACUGGUAGACUUGAGUGCAGGAGAAGAGAGUGGAAUUCCAUGUGUAGCGGUGAAAUGCGUAGAUAUAUGGAGGACAACACCGGUGGGCGAAGCGGCUCUCCUGCCUGUAACUGACACUGAAGGCUCGAAGCGUGGGGAGCAAACCGAAUAGAUACCCUGGUAGUCCCCCCCUAAAACAAGAAUGCUAAAUGGAGG